CCUACGGGGGGCAGCAGUGAGGAAUAUUGGUCAAUGGGCGGAAGCCUGAACCAGCCAAGUAGCGUGCGGGAUGAAGGCCCUACGGGUCGUAAACCGCUUUUGCACGGGGAUAAAACCCUCCACGUGUGGAGGUCUGCAGGUACCGUGCGAAUAAGCGCCGGCUAAUUCCGUGCCAGCAGCCGCGGUAAUACGGAAGACGCGAGCGUUAUCCGGAUUCAUUGGGCUUAAAGGGAGCGUAGGCGGGCGUUUAAGUCAGCGGUAAAAUCGCGGGGCUCAACCGCGCCCCGCAGUUGAAACUGGACGCCUUGAGUUGACGAGAGGCAGGCGGAAUGCGCGGUGUAGCGGUGAAAUGCAUAGAUAUCGCGAGGAACCCCGAUUGCGAAGGCAGCCUGCCGGCGGGCGUCUGACGCUGAGGCACGAAGGUGCGGGUAUCAAACAGGAUUAGAUACCCGUGUAGUC
rnacentral:rRNA from 1 species